UACGGAGGGUGCGAGCGUUGUCCGGAAUCACUGGGCGUAAAGGGCGCGUAGGCGGCCUGAUAAGUAGGGGGUGAAAUCCUGCGGCUUAACCGCAGGGCUGCCUUCUAAACUGUCAGGCUUGAGCACAGUAGAGGCAGGUGGAAUUCCCGGUGUAGCGGUGGAAUGCGUAGAGAUCGGGAGGAACACCAGAGGCGAAAGCGGCAUCCUGGGCCGGGCCUGACGCUGAGGCGUGAAAGCGUGGGGAGCGAACCGG
rnacentral:rRNA from 1 species